ensembl:misc_RNA Metazoa_SRP Metazoan signal recognition particle RNA
GCUGGGCGUGGUGGCGCACGCCUGUAAUCCCAGCUACUCCGGAGGCUGAGGCAGGAGAAUCGUUUGAACUCGGGAGGCGGAGGUUGCAGUGAGCCAAGAUCAUGCCAUUGAACUCCAGCCUGGGUGACAGGGUGAGACUCCGUCUCAA